CGUCCACUCUUUCAUCUGGUUUGUCCUGACAGGAACAGAUGAGGUCUCUUGCGCCCUAAGCUAAAUGUUGUGUUAUACUUCGUCACGGGAAGAAGUAAAAUUUAUUUGGAGUUUUCUUGUCCGUUUCAAUGCUGUCUAAGCGCUCUGAUGAGCUGGAGUCUCGAUGUGGAGAGAGUCGAAUGGCAGGACCGAAGCCAGUGUGGUUUCUGCGGCAGACCUACUCUGACAGGCUUGUCAAAGUUUUUAAUAAUUCUUGUGCCGUCCACGAUGGUGAAAUUGUGGCGGGGCUUUGGCCUUCUCUCUCCAACUGUUGCCUGCCAUGACUGUGAGGUUCAUUCCAUCCUGAUUAUAAUUGCUUUCAUCUUGUAUCGUGACUGUUUUCAAUUCUUCACGGCCCUGUCAGCUCAGCGAGGUUCACAGAGGUUGCUGCGGUUUAGAUUUUCUCCAUCUCCGUACAUGCUGUUCCUGAGAGACGUGUCCUGUUGAAGGUUUGCUGACUGAGUUUGAUGUCUUGUGAUAGUAUCUGGUCUGUUCAUUAUGACAGUCCCUCAUGAGACGGACAGGACGAGUGAAAAACAUCUCCCUUCACAAACGCAGGCGUAGUUACGCACCAACUUUGGUGUGCUUCAUGAAAACCUAUAGAUCACAAGAUUUGGGCAGAGAAAAGAAUAAA